UGUGCGCAAGUCACUGGGAUCAUGUCUAAACCCAGAGGCGCAGUGAAAGCGUGGGGCUCGCACGGCAUAAAACCGCUGCGAGCCGCUAAGGGAGGACGUCUGGUCGCUCCCGAACGGUGCGGCCAGUCAGCACUCCCGGGGCGCCUCGGCUCCGGCCGCAGGCGCACCCGGAGCGCACACGUUGGGACCCGAAAGAUGGUGAACUAUGCCCGGCCAGGACGAAGUCAGGGGAAACCCUGAUGGAGGUCCGCAGCGAUUCUGACGUGCAAAUCGAUCGUCAGAGCUAGGUAUAGGGGCGAAAGACUAAUCGAACCAUCUAGUAGCU
rnacentral:rRNA from 1 species